UAGGGUAUCUUCCACAAUGGGCGAAAGCCUGAUGGAGCAACGCCGCGUGUGUGAUGAAGGGUUUCGGCUCGUAAAACACUGUUGUAAGAGAAGAAUGACAUUGAGAGUAACUGUUCAAUGUGUGACGGUAUCUUACCAGAAAGGAACGGCUAAAUACGUGCCAG
rnacentral:rRNA from 1 species